UACAGAGGGUGCAAGCGUUACUCGGAAUUACUGGGCGUAAAGGGUGCGUAGGUGGUUCGAUAAGUUAAAUGUGAAAGCCCCGGGCUUAACCUGGGAACUGCGUUUAAUACUGUUGAGCUUGAGUACUGUAGAGGAAAGUGGAAUUACCGGUGUAGCGGUGAAAUGCGUAGAUAUCGGUAGGAACACCAGUGGCGAAGGCGACUUUCUGGACAGAUACUGACACUGAGGCACGAAAGCAUGGGGAGCAAACAGG
rnacentral:rRNA from 1 species